rnacentral:tmRNA from 1 species
GGGGCCGAUUAGGAUUCGACGCCGGUUGCGAAACUUGAGGAGCGUGCCGAGUUGGUAACAGAACUCGUAAAUCCACUGUUGCACACUGAUAGUUGCCAACGACGACAACUACGCUCUGGCGGCUUAAGCCCGCCAGCUGUCCUUAGGGGAUGCCUGUAAACCCGAAUUCAGGACAGUCAGAUAGAACAGGAUCGCCGCCAAGCACGCUGUGGGCGUAACGGCUAAAACUUACACAGCUCGCUCCAAACGCCCUGCCACUCGGGCCGUGAGGAGUUAACUCAAUAGAGAUGGCUACGCAUGUAGAACCGAUAGCAGAGUGCUGGCGGACGGGGGUUCAAAUCCCCCCGGCUCCACCA